CUUAUACUCCCUCCGUUCCGAAUUACUUGUCUUAGAUUUGUCUAGAUACGGAUGUAUCAAACACUAAAAUGAGUCUAGAUACAUCCGUAUCUAGACAAAUACAAGACAAGUAAUUCGGAACGGAGGGAGUAUUUA
rnacentral:pre_miRNA from 1 species